rnacentral:rRNA from 1 species
AUUGAACGCUGGCGGCAGGCCUAACACAUGCAAGUCGAGCGGCAGCGGGAAAGUAGCUUGCUACUUUUGCCGGCGAGCGGCGGACGGGUGAGUAAUGCCUGGGAAAUUGCCCAGUCGAGGGGGAUAACAGUUGGAAACGACUGCUAAUACCGCAUACGCCCUACGGGGGAAAGCAGGGGACCUUCGGGCCUUGCGCGAUCGGAUAUGCCCAGGUGGGAUUAGCUAGUUGGUGAGGUAAUGGCUCACCAAGGCGACGAUCCCUAGCUGGUCUGGGAGGAUGAUCAGCCACACUGGAACUGAGACACGGUCCAGACUCCUACGGGAGGCAGCAGUGGGGAAUAUUGCACAAUGGGGGAAACCCUGAUGCAGCCAUGCCGCGUGUGUGAAGAAGGCCUUCGGGUUGUAAAGCACUUUCAGCGAGGAGGAAAGGUUGAUGCCUAAUACGUAUCAACUGUGACGUUACUCGCAGAAGAAGCACCGGCUAACUCCGUGCCAGCCGCCGCCGUAA